AUGAACGGCGAUUUCAACGCAAUCUAUGAGGCUCAGGACAAAGACAACCUUAACCUCAACCACCGCAUCAUGGCGCGGUUCCGAUCGGCGCUAAAUAGCAGCGAUCUCAAGGAGAUCAAUCUGUGUGGCAGGCGGUUCACAUGGUCAAACGAGCAUGCCUCGCCCACGCUGGUGCGCCUGGACUGCGCCUUCUGCACGUUGGAG
rnacentral:rRNA from 1 species